GACGAACGCUGGCGGCGUGCUUAACACAUGCAAGUCGAACGAUGAACCCGGAGCUUGCUCCGGUGGAUUAGUGGCGAACGGGUGAGUAAUACGUGAGUAACCUGCCCUUGACUCUGGGAUAACUGCGGGAAACUGUAGCUAAUACCUGAUCAGACCCUCGGCGGCAUCGCCACGGGGGUGACAGAAUUUCGGCCAAGGAUGGACUCGGGGACUAUCAGCUAGUUGGUGGGGUAACGGCUCACCAAGACGACGACGGGAAGCCGGGCUGAGAGGGUGACCGGCCACACUGGGACUGGGACACGGCCCAGACUCCUACGGGAGGCAGCAGUGGGGAAUAUUGCACAAUGGGCGCAAGCCUGAUGCAGCAACGCCGCGUGAGGGAUGACGGCCUUCGGGUUGUAAACCUCUUUUAGUAGGGAAGAAGCGAAAGUGACGGUACCUGCAGAAAAAGCACCGGCUAACUACGUGCCAGCAGCCGCCGUAA
rnacentral:rRNA from 1 species